UUUUUUUCCUACAUUGUUACCGGUAUUCUCAUGUUUUUCUCCAGGUUUUCACAGGUUUUGCUGGAAAGAUUCUUGGGAAAAUCUAAAAAUGAUCUACUUAAAGUAAUACCAUGAGAAAAUUUACUUUCAGGAAAGGAUCUACAUCGUACACACCGGAGUAAGCUUUUUGGUAAAAAAUUAUUAAUAUAUAAAAAAUCAAUACAUUAUUCAAUCCGCUCAAAAUCUAAAAACAGCUGAAACUGCUGUGUUUGGUGGGUCACUAAUUAAGGAGGAAAGUUGAGAAUU